rnacentral:rRNA from 1 species
GACGAACGCUGGCGGCGUGCUUAACACAUGCAAGUCGAACGGAAAGGCCCUGCUUUUGUGGGGUGCUCGAGUGGCGAACGGGUGAGUAACACGUGAGUAACCUGCCCUUGACUUUGGGAUAACUUCAGGAAACUGGGGCUAAUACCGGAUAGGAGCUCUUGCUGCAUGUGGUGGGUUGGAAAGUUUCGGCGGUUGGGGAUGGACUCGCGGCUUAUCAGCUUGUUGGUGGGGUAGUGGCUUACCAAGGCUUUGACGGGUAGCCGGCCUGAGAGGGUGACCGGCCACAUUGGGACUGAGGUACGGCCCAGAAUGCUACGGGAGGCAGCAGUGGGGAAUAUUGCACAAUGGGCGGAAGCCUGAUGCAGCAACGCCGCGUGCGGGAUGACGGCCUUCGGGUUGUAAACCGCUUUCGCCUGUGACGAAGCGUGAGUGACGGUAAUGGGUAAAGAAGCACCGGCUAACUACGUG